CCUACGGGAGGCAGCAGUGAGGAAUAUUGGUCAAUGGUCGGGAGACUGAACCAGCCAAGCCGCGUGAGGGAUGAAGGUACAGAGUAUCGUAAACCUCUUUUGUCAGGGAACAAAGGCGGGGACGCGUCCCCGGUUGAGUGUACCUGAAGAAAAAGCAUCGGCUAACUCCGUGCCAGCAGCCGCGGUAAUACGGAGGAUGCGAGCUUUAUCCGGAUUUAUUGGGUUUAAAGGGUGGGCAGGUGGUCUGUUAAGUCAGCGGUCAAAGCCCGGGGCUCAACCCCGGCCCGCCGUUGAAACUGGCAGUCUCGAGUGGGAGAGAGGUAGGCGGAAUGCGCGGUGUAGCGGUGAAAUGCAUAGAUAGCGCGCAGAACUCCGAUUGCGAAGGCAGCAUGCCGGCUCCACACUGACGCUGAGGCACGAAAGCGUGGGUAUCGAACAGGAUUAGAUACCCUGGUAGUC
rnacentral:rRNA from 1 species